rnacentral:rRNA from 1 species
UACGUAGGGUGCAAGCGUUAAUCGGAAUUACUGGGCGUAAAGCGUGCGCAGGCGGUGAUGUAAGACAGGUGUGAAAUCCCCGGGCUCAACCUGGGAAUUGCCUUUAAGACUGCAUCGCUAGAAUUGUGGAGAGGUAAGUGGAAUUCCGAGUGUAGAGGUGAAAUUCGUAGAUAUUCGGAAGAACACCAGUGGCGAAGGCGACUUACUGGACACAUAUUGACGCUGAGGUGCGAAAGCGUGGGGAGCAAACAGG